rnacentral:misc_RNA from 1 species
UUUCCGUAGGUGAACCUGCGGAAGGAUCAUUACCGAGUUAGGGUUUCCGUUAGGAGCCCGACCUCCCAACCCUUUGUCUAUGAUACCAUACAGUUGCUUCGGCGUGCCGAGGAAUAACAGCCUCGCUGGGCCUUCUGGGCCGAGAGCGUGCACGUCGAUGGCCUCAUUAAACUAUUGAAACCAAAACCUGUCGUCUGAACAUUUGUGAUUACUAUAAUCAAAAACAAAACUUUCAACAACGGAUCUCUUGGUUCUGGCAUCGAUGAAGAACGCAGC